AGCCCCAUAGUGUAGCGGUCAAUUCUUAGGAGACCAAUCAUCCCGGAUUUUGGAUCCGGGGACGGCGGUUCGAAUCCGCCUGGGGCUA
rnacentral:tRNA from 1 species